AUUGAACGCUGGCGGAAUGCUUUACACAUGCAAGUCGAACGGUAGAGGGGGCAACCUCUCGAGAGUGGCGAACGGGUGAGUAAUAUAUCGGAACGUGCCCAGUCGUGGGGGAUAACGUAGCGAAAGUUACGCUAAUACCGCAUACGAUCUACGGAUGAAAGCGGGGGACUCGCAAGAGCCUCGCGCGAUUGGAGCGGCCGAUAUCAGAUUAGGUAGUUGGUGGGGUAAAAGGCCUACCAAGCCGACGAUCUGUAGCUGGUCUGAGAGGACGACCAGCCACACUGGGACUGAGACACGGCCCAGACUCCUACGGAGGCAGCAGUGGGGAAUUUUGGACAAUGGCGCAAGCCUGAUCCAGCCAUUCCGCGUGCAGGAUGAAGGCCUCGGUUGUAAACUGCUUUGUACGGUACGAAACGGCG
rnacentral:rRNA from 1 species